UGUUAUGGCGACUGUGCGCAGGGCGCCUACGGGUGCGCCGGUUUCCUUACCCGGUCUACCAACCUGCGUUCAGUCGCCACCCUA
rnacentral:antisense_RNA from 1 species